rnacentral:lncRNA from 1 species
CGGCCCUGAGGGGGGAGGGAGGGCCGAGCUUUGGGGCUGGAGGGGAUAUAGCCCAGGGUCGUAGCUCAGGUCGGAGCGGGCCUUUAAGGUCACGGAACGGUUGGGUUGGAAGAGACCCCAGGGCCCUCCCCAGCCCCACUCCUCUGUGGGCCGGCUGCCCCCCGCCAGCACAGGGCCCCAGGGCCCGCCCGAGCCUGAGAAAACGCUGAGAAAGAAUCCGCCUCCCAGUGACUCAGUGCUAUCUCCACCCACCACCAGCUCAGACCCGCUCCCCCGGGGAGGAGAACAGCGGAAAAUAUGAAUUCCAAUUGGAAUUCCUGGCGUCACCCCAAGGGGAAAACAGGCACCGAGGCACCGGCACGUAGAUCUCCUGCUUGCUGCGGUCACCAGAGGGCACACGUCCGCUGCCGUGACAUGGAAAAAAGUUCCCAAUUUGGGCUGUUUGCUGAGCUCAACCCGGGCGAGGAGGAGCGUUCAGCCAACGGCGUGGGCAUAAAGUGGAGCACGAACGGCGUCCAACGAAACGUCGGCGGCGUAAAAUGAAACGUCGAUGGGCGUCAGACGAAACCCCUGUGGCGUGAAGUCAAACGUGGACGGCGCAAAAGGAAACCUGGACGGCACAAAAUGGAAGCUGGAUGACGUAAAACCGAACCUGGAUGAUGUAAAGCGGGACCUGGAUGACAUAAAACCGAACCUGGAUGGCGUAGAGCGGGACCUGGAUGACGUAAAACCGAACCUGGAUGACGUAAAGCGGGACCUGGAUGACACAGAGCGGGACCUGGAUGACAUAAAACCAAACCUGGAUGACAUAAAGCGGGACGUGGAUGACGUAAAACCGAACCUGGAUGAC